rnacentral:lncRNA from 1 species
CGCUUCCUUGGAGUAAUCCCCGCAUCAGUAUGGCGGGCACCAGACAGGGUCUGGGAGGUCACGUCCUACAGGCAAGGCUGUUUCAAGGGCUGCUACCUUAAUCAGUUAUUCUGGCAUGAACGUGAUUGACUGGGCCGCGCCUUCCUGCACCACCUGAGAAAUCGGCUGGGCUUCACCUCCUGUCCUUGCCAGCUCAGAUGUGAGUGAUGCUUCUGCUGGGCCGGGGCUGGAAAUCACUCAGUGACUGGGGAGGCCAAGAUGUUCUGACUGACAGAGGCCUUGGGGUUGGCUUCCUGGAACAGCAGUUCUGAAAAGAUCUCUCUGUGUCUUUGGUUUAAAGAUUAUCUUGGCUCAUCUAAAUUGCUUGGCCCUCGUCUUCAAAUUGGUCUCAUCCCAAAAGGGUUCUUCUUUGGACACUAAGGAUAAAUUUCACCACUGCUUGAGAUUCCCCUUUGUUAUUUCUGUCAGAAGGAUUGUCGGUAAAAGCUGACUUCUCAGUUGAGUACAGGGGGAUUUUCUGCUUACUGCCAUUAAUUUCCUUCUCUUUAUGCCAAACCUAGGCUAAGGGCCUAAUUAUUUGCAGAUAGCAUUCUAUAAAGACUGGCCAUGCUUACUCUGAAGGGAGACAACUCACUUUUGUGAUUGACAUCAUGAUUUUU